rnacentral:rRNA from 1 species
AUCAAAAACAUGGCUUUUCGAAUUUAAUUAAAGGUCUAAUCUGCUCAAUGAUUAAAGUUAAAUAGCUGCAGAAUUUUAACUGUACAAAGGUAGCAUAAUAAUUAGUUCAUUUAUUGUGUUCUGGGAUGAAUGAUUUGAUAAAGUAAAAUAUGUUUUGAUUUAUUGAGUAAAAAUUUAUUUUUAAGUUAAAAAGCUUAAAUAAAUUAAAGGGACGAGAAGACCCUAUAGAUUUUUAUUUAAUUUUUUAUAAUUUUUUUUAAGUUAUUAGGUUAUAAAGGGGAUUAAAUUUUGGUGGGGUACUGGGUAAAUAAAAUAAUUUUAAUUGAUAAUAACAAAAAUUGUUGGAGAGGAUGGAAGUGAAGAGUUAAGCUAAGAAAAGAUUAAAAAUACCUUAGGGAUAACAGCGUAAUAAACUUUUUAAGAUCUUAUUUUAAAGUUUGAUUGUGACCUCGAUGUUG